rnacentral:rRNA from 1 species
UCGAGAAUCUUUCACAAUGGGCGAAAGCCUGAUGGAGCGACGCCGCGUGGAGGUUAAGGUCUUCGGAUUGUAAACUCCUGUCAUGCGAGAACAAAGCCCGCAAGGGUCUGAUAGUAUCGCAAGAGGAAGAGACGGCUAACUCUGUGCCAGCAGCCGCGGUAAUACAGAGGGGGCUAGCGUUGUUCGGAAUUACUGGGCGUAAAGGGCGCGUAGGCGGCCCUCUAAGUCGAACGUGAAAUCCCCGGGCUCAACCCGGGAACUGCGUCCGAUACUGGAGGGCUCGAAUCCGGGAGAGGGAUGUGGAAUUCCAGGUGUAGCGGUGAAAUGCGUAGAUAUCUGGAGGAACACCGGUGGCGAAGGCGGCAUCCUGGACCGGUAUUGACGCUGAGGCGCGAAAGCCAGGGGAGCAAA